rnacentral:rRNA from 1 species
UACGAAGGGGGCUAGCGUUGUUCGGAGUUACUGGGCGUAAAGGGCGCGUAGGCGGCGCACCAAGUCAGGCGUGAAAGCCCUGGGCUCAACCCGGGAAUUGCGCUUGAGACUGGUGUGCUCGAGUACGGGAGAGGAUAGUGGAAUUCCCAGUGUAGAGGUGAAAUUCGUAGAUAUUGGGAAGAACACCAGUGGCGAAGGCGGCUAUCUGGACCGUAACUGACGCUGAGGCGCGAAAGCGUGGGGAGCAACAGGG